UGCCCGCCCGCCCGCCCCACUCUGCGCCGUGGCCACGAUGCAGUUUAUGUUGCUUUUCAGUCGCCAGGGUAAACUACGACUUCAGAAAUGGUAUGUCCCGUUGUCAGACAAAGAAAAGAAAAAAAUCACAAGGGAACUUGUUCAGACCGUUUUAGCUCGGAAGCCGAAGAUGUGCAGCUUUCUGGAGUGGCGAGAUCUGAAGAUUGUCUACAAAAGGUACGCCAGCCUAUAUUUCUGCUGUGCUAUUGAAGAUCAGGAUAAUGAACUAAUUACCCUGGAAAUAAUUCAUCGUUACGUCGAGCUACUUGAUAAAUAUUUUGGCAGUGUGUGUGAACUUGAUAUCAUCUUUAAUUUUGAGAAGGCUUAUUUUAUCCUGGAUGAGUUCCUUUUGGGAGGGGAAGUUCAGGAAACAUCCAAGAAAAAUGUUCUUAAAGCCAUUGAGCAGGCAGAUCUGCUGCAGGAGAGCCAGAAUGAAGACUGGGGAGGUCUUUCUGAGGAUAUCUUAUGAUUAUGAGCAAUCUAAGGCUUUAUGCCCUUUGACCCCCAACUUAAUUAUUGGAUGCUAAAGAAGCGGAAACCCCACGUAGUGUUCUUGAAGAAAUUGGAUUGACAUAAACCUCCUCCCUUGAUGGCAUCCUGUGGUGUUUCACAUACUGUAGAUGUUCACUGCCUUCAUAUCACUGUUUAGCUAAUGGUGUAAGAUGCUGUUUGUCAGUAUUACUGUUUUGCUAAGCUGCUUCAUUCAGGCCUACAUGAAAUAGUUCAAUUUGAAAAGGGAACAAAAUACUAAAAGAAAAUCAAAGGAUAAAAUAAAGGGAGUUGAUUAGCAGAAUACAGUAUUUAGUAGGAUUCAAUUAUCAUUUUCCCUGUCUUACUUUAAUGUAACAAGUAUGCCUAUGAAACCAUGCACACUACUUUACUACAGUACUCUAUUUUAUGGAAAAAGCUUACAGUUUAAAAUUUCAGUAUUGUGAAUGUGGUUUUGUGCGACCAAAGACCAGUAUAACAUUCAGUGUUAAUGGAACAAGUCUUGACUCUUGCUAAUUUCACAUAACAAAAUGACUGAAAAUUAACUCUUACUGAAGCAUUUUUUCAUUAUACUAAAGACAUCAAUUUGGAAUGUCAGUUCUUAAACUGGUACCUCAUUUGACAGAACUGAUCAAAGUAUUCAGUACCAAGAAUUACAACAUAUUUAGUGGAAUACAUAUUAAAGGGAAUGCAAAUGAUAUGAAAUGUCUUGGAAAUUAAAACAAACUUAUUUUCAUAACUAUUUACUGACUAAGUAGCCUGGCCAUUGUGGGUUAAAUGUUCCAUACUCUACUCUUUGCAUUACAGUGAGCACAUAAUGUAAACCCCAAGAGGUUCAGGCACAUCAGUAGGUAAUGAGGGAUUUUUUUUUUUAAGCAUGUACCCGCACAGUUUACAUGGCUUAUGGGGAUACCCAAUGGUUAAGCCUACACUGCCAUAUUUAUGUUUUUUGAGAGGGUUUGGAACUAUCUUUUUACAUUUACACUGCAUUACAGAGGGAUAGGCUAGGUUUACAAAAGCUUCCUACAUCUUCUGGGCCGUGAAUUUCAGUCUCCACCCCCAUUCACUCCCCAUCCAGUACUGAACUCUUUAUCAAGUGCCACUCAUUCAUGGUAUUCCCCUUCUCUUUUCAAACGUUUCAGGGACAGUGAAAAAUUUACAGUACACGAAAGCUUUCAUGUAGCAAAUGUGCUAACAGAUGGGGUAAAUAGCAUCAGUAUGCCCUUUGGCUUUUUUUUUUCCUUUGAUGUUGUUAGACUCAUAUUUUAAAGUUUCAAUACUGCUUUUAUAUGUAUUGAACUAACUGUCUCAAGUUUACACUUCCACCUGUAUGUGCUUGGCUGGAUUAAGCUUUGUUGUAAUUGUGACCAAUAUUUAGGCUGUGUGACCACUGUCCUAUUACCACAUCAAUUUUGUUGUAAUAAAUGUCCACUCUUACACCACUGUAGUGUGUUUAUCUCUAUCAAUCCAAAGGUUUGUUAAAUUAUGGAGAAGGGUGAGGGGAAGACCAUUUUUAAAAACAUUUGUAAAAAGUUUUUUUGUAAAAUGGAAAUAAAGUCAAACGUCAAACUGAA